CCUACGGGUGGCAGCAGUGGGGAAUAUUGCACAAUGGGCGAAAGCCUGAUGCAGCAACGCCGCGUGAGCGAUGAAGGCCUUCGGGUCGUAAAGCUCUGUCCUCAAGGAAGAUAAUGACGGUACUUGAGGAGGAAGCCCCGGCUAACUACGUGCCAGCAGCCGCGGUAAUACGUAGGGGGCUAGCGUUAUCCGGAAUUACUGGUCGUAAAGGGUGCGUAGGUGGUUUCUUAAGUCAGAGGUGAAAGGCUACGGCUCAACCGUAGUAAGCCUUUGAAACUGGGGAACUGGAGUGCGGGAGGGGCAGGCGGAAUGCCUGGUGUAGCGGUGAAAUGCGUAGAUAUCAGGAGGAACACCGGCGGCGAAGGCGGCCUGCUGGACCGCGACUGACGUUGAGGCUCGAAAGCGUGGGGAGCGAACAGGAUUAGAUACCCUUGUAGUC
rnacentral:rRNA from 1 species